GAAGCAGCGAAAUAGAAGUCAGCUGGAUCACAUGGCAGACGGAGAGGAAAAACCGGAGAGCAGAGAAGAGGUGGAAAGACCGUCUCGGAAGCAAGGAACAUCCAGCCGAUCCGACGUGAGAACCUGCUGCGUCCAGUGGAGGUUUUCAGAAGCAGCCGUGGCCUCCCUCAGACGGAAAUAAAGAGCUCCAAAAACAGCAGAGGAAGAGGGCGGCCGUGAGCCCAGGUUCAGAGGUCGCACCUCGUUAGACGAUCGGUCCGUCCCCCCCUGACGCUUGACAAAUUGGACUGAGGCACGCAACCAGUGACAGCGAUGUGCCCGUCACAUGGCAAAGGCAGGGGGUGACUCAUGUUCCCGCGUCAAAACAGGCAGCGCACAGCUGGUGCGGAACAGAGCGUAGGUGCAUCUUCUGUGUACAGAUACAGAGCCCUCUGGAUUACCUCUUCUGCACAUGCUCAGAAACCUUGCUACAGACAGUCAACUUCUGAGGAAUAAUACAAUUGUGAUGCUAUAUUUGGAUUGUCAACAGCACGAAUGUUUGGAUCAGAACUCGGUCCCUCCCACAAAGCAGCAUACUUACGAACAGAACCUGAUAGAAAGACCUCGCCAUUGUCACAGCUGCUAUUGGGAUGAUGUUCAGACAUGUACAUGAACGGAUUGUCACAAAAUUUUGGCAAAGCAGAGGUGCGAAGGAAAUCGAUUAACAGACACCCACUCCUACGGGUGGCUCUGAUCACUGAUGCACGAGCACUUUUCUAACAUCACGACCCUGUGCUGGAGUCAAGUUCAAGCCAAAGAUAACGACACUAUUUGCAGUGUCAUUCCGAGUCUGAUUCCACAAUUUAACAAAAUGACAUUUUAAUAGUCACCAUGGCAGCACACGAAUGUCGACAUUCUAAACUUACUAAAAUAUAACUUGCCAUAAAAGUCACUAUUUUGAGUUCAGUUUACUUAAGUGAGAAAAUAACAGGCCAAACCAGUAAGGAUAGUCAGACAGAAAAAGACAAAGCAGGUAAAUAAGGUAUGAAAGUACCUUCUCAGAUACUCAGAACACUAUUAGUCCAUUACAUUUUGGGUCAGCAGGCCAAUAAUUAAGCUCUAUAAGAAGGAUCACCCCCAUUAAAGUUGACCAUAAGCCUUUGGGGGGACAGAAAGGAAAACUGUGUUCCUGAGGAUACGACUCACAGAAGAGAUUAGUUUUAGGAAGCAAGACCUCAGCCUUUUUGGGAAAUCAGCUAUGCAUAAAAAAAGUUCAAAUGUAAAAAAACAAAAAAAAACAAAUAUUGCCUUUCAUAAUAAAUCACUCCAAAGAAAAACAAAUGGAAGAAAAAUCUUUUAUUCAGAAAACAACCUUACAAAAAUAAUUUAAACUGAAAAUACAGGGUGUGAAUAUCCAUCUGUAGACGUGCUCCCAGCCUGUA